CUUCUUCCCUCCGUCGUCCACUCUCUCCCCUCGUAGGGGAUGAAGAGAUUAAGAGGAAAUUACACCGAGUCCUUCUCUUCGACAAGGCAGGAGAAGUGGGGAGUCGGAACUUCAAACAACUUUUGAAAAGACGGGAUCAGAGGUCCUGGAAAAAAAGGGGCUGGACGAGGAAAAGACCGGCAGUCACGGAGGAAGAAAAAGACAAAAAAAACCCAAAAGAAGUCAUUUGGGAUUCGAGGUCACGGUAGAUGAAGGGAAGGGGACAGAGAAAGAAGUGAAUUAGAGAAGAAACUGAAUCUCUAUGUUGACCCCGGAAAGGAGGUUAUUGUGGUGACGGAAAAGUAUUUCCACGUAACUAAAGGCCACGAGACUGACACCGAGCUACGAGGGAGGGCUGCGUUUCUGCAGCAAACGAGCUCCUUCACGUAAUGAGCGAGAAGAGAAGGUGCCAAAAAAGAGGGUCGAGUGAGUUGUUACUGAGGUCUUGAUGGUGGUCUUGGAACCUGAGGUCUGUCCCAGUUCGUUUCAUUGAGGAGGAAUACGGAGGGCUGGAGUCUUUCAUAAUCGCUUCUCUUUUCUAGGCAUGUAUUUUGCUUUCUGGAGAGGCUUCUGAAGUAGCUCUUAGCCCAAAGUGGGACUCUUUACCAGCUCAGUUGCAAAAUCCAUCAACUGACAAGAUGAACUCAAACCAAUGGAGCUACUUGGGCCGAGGACUCCUUUCCUGUUACCCUGCAGUCCACAAAUUGACUUUGUUCUACAGGACACAAUGCAAGCACUCGCACACAAAGGCACACAACUACAGGUAUAUGCACAAUAGAAAGAGCCGAUGGAACGUGGUGAUAAAACAGCGUGAGGUUGAAGGGGAAGUUGAACAAUAGCUGCAGCUGCAGACCCGGUUCUCGUCGAGGUGGGAUUUAUGGCAAGGUGCCACAGACCCACACACACACACACAAUCCUGUGUAACAAUCAGGCCAUCGCUGUGACAAAGACCAUGUGUUAACUAUGCUCACAGAAAUCAUCUCUCACACACACACACACACACACAAACAAGCCCAGCAGGCUCUUACACAGAAAUCUAAACGCACUUUGUCACUGGUCUCUCAUCCCAGCAGGUAACACUAUGUCUUUUCCUUCUGUCUCGGUGCUCCUGUACGUCUCUACAUUGCUGUCUUUGCCUCUCUUUCGAUUUCUCAGCAGUCUCUGCUGAAUCCUCUUUCACACCUCCAGCCUCCCCACCACUCCCCCUCUGUCUCCCCCUCCUUUUUGCUUCCUCUCAUUCCCCCUAAGCAGUCUUUCCUAGAGCCCCUUUCAUGCUUUCCCCUCUCUCUCCCACUACACAUUUGCCCUCACUCACAGUCCGGCCUGAAGCGUCUCUCCCUCCCUCCCGCUCUCUCUCUCCCCCGCUAUCCCCCUCAUAUAUUCUUUUCUCUGCACCUGGCCAUGACUCUUCCCCCAUUGCUGUGGUUUCACCUCUCCACCUAUCUGACAGUUUCCACAUUAAUCAUUCUUACAUCCCCGAGAAGAGCUGUCUUCCCUUGCCUCUCUCUCUAUCUCUCUUUAUAAUUCUUAUUUUUUCUCUCUGCCUCUCACUUCCUUGUCACAUUGCAUAUCUUAUUCUCACAACUUGUUUCUCACCUCUCAUUAUAUCUCUAUUUAUGGACGUGCAAGCAAAAUGACAUCACCUUUCUCCCGGUUGUAACAAGUUAUCAUUUGUUGGCAAUAGCUGCAACAGGAUAUCUGAUUAUAUUUGAUUCUUAUUCAGUGGUCGGGGGGGUUUAAGGAUUUUAAUGUUAGACGUUAGCGAUAUAUCAAGAUAGCAGGACACUAAUUCGAGUGAGUGACUUUAUCGCACAAGAAGGCUGACUUUCUGUCAGCUUAUCCACACAAAAAAAAUACAAAUGUGCUAAUAGAUCAAAUCCUGAUAAUUCAGAGAGUAAUUUCCAUUAAGUGAUCUUUUAAUACCAAGUGUGGCUCCUCCUAUAGAAAUGAAAGGAAUGCGGUAAGAUUGAUGUUGGUCUGUCUUAGCGAGGAAAACAUCUAAUUUCAUUUGAAAGUGUAUUUCAGGUCAAUGUGAAGGCAACGAGGAAGCAAAAGGAAACCAAAUGACUUUGAUGAUUUCAUAGAAGAAAAUCCAUGAAAUCAAAGGCUGGCUUGCUACACGUUUGUGGCACUAUCGAGACGUGAGUAACACAGGCGGCCAUUCAUUUCAUUUACACAUAGGCGUUUUCGACUGUCUCUUCUGCACACUCAUUUGUUUUGUGGUUCUCUCUUAUGCUCUUAAACACUGUCUAAUCCCUGAUUAGCGGAGGAAGAGGGCGUCUAAUGCUCCUUUCCACUUGUCUGCUACUGAACUGUGACACACAAGCGCGCUCACAAGCGCACACACUUUGUUUGCACUCAAGUACGCACACUCAGACUUCCACGCAAAUCCAUGUUCACACACAAACCUUUCAAGACUCUAACAUGGGCCUAUCCCACUGCGCUGGCAUUGAAACGUGCACCUGCAUCUCUCUUUCUCCAGAGAAAACGAUACUUUAAAGGAUUUAAUAGUUUCCUGCGAGCGCAACUUAGCACUCAGACAACUUUGUGUUACCCAAGGGACAAACUACGCAUUAUUGCUGCACAGAUCUGUACAUAACUAAUAUUUCUUACAGGACUAUGUUUGUCAAAGUAAAAAUACACCAUCCAGAAGGUGUUUAAUAAUGUUCACCCUACAUGUAACCAUCUAUAGAGGACAAGGCGGAGAGUUUCUUGGAGUUAUUAAGUCUAUUUUGUAGAAUUAAUGACUUCAUUUUUCAUAUUUUUGUAGUUUUUAGAGGCU
ensembl:lncRNA